rnacentral:rRNA from 1 species
AUUGAACGCUGGCGGCAGGCCUAACACAUGCAAGUCGGACGGUAGCACAGAGAGCUUGCUCUCGGGUGACGAGUGGCGGACGGGUGAGUAAUGUCUGGGGCUCUGCCCGAUAGAGGGGGAUAACCCCUGGAAACGGUGGCUAACACCGCAUAACGUCGCAAGACAAAAGAGGGGGACCUUCGGGCCUCUCACAAUCUGAUGAACCCAGAUGGGAUUAGCUAGUAGGUGGGGUAACGGCCCACCUAGGCGACGAUCCCUAGCUGGUCUGAGAGGAUGACCAGCCACACUGGAACUGAGACACGGUCCAGACUCCUACGGGAGGCAGCAGUGGGGAAUAUUGCACAAUGGGCGCAAGCCUGAUGCAGCCAUGCCGCGUGUAUGAAGAAGGCCUUCGGGUUGUAAAGUACUUUCAGCGGGGAGGAAGGCGAUGUGGUUAAUAACCGCAUUGAUUGACGUUACCCGCAGAAGAAGCACCGGCUAACUCCGUGCCAGCAGCCGCCGUAA